rnacentral:rRNA from 1 species
GACGAACGCUGGCGGCGUGCCUAAUACAUGCAAGUCGAACGCUGAAGGAGGAGCUUGCUUCUCUGGAUGAGUUGCGAACGGGUGAGUAACGCGUAGGUAACCUGCCUGGUAGCGGGGGAUAACUAUUGGAAACGAUAGCUAAUACCGCAUAAGAGUAGAUGUCGCAUGACAUUUGCUUAAAAGUUGCAAUUGCAUCACUACCAGAUGGACCUGCGUUGUAUUAGCUAGUUGGUGAGGUAACGGCUCACCAAGGCAACGAUACAUAGCCGACCUGAGAGGGUGAUCGGCCACACUGGGACUGGGACACGGCCCAGACUCCUACGGGAGGCAGCAGGAGGGAAUCUUCGGAAAUGGACGGAAGUCUGAACGAGCAACGCCGCGGGAGGGAAGAAGGGUUUCGGAUCGUAAAGCUCUGUUGUAAGAGAAGAACGAGUGUGAGAGUGGAAAGUUCACACUGUGACGGUAGCUUACCAGAAAGGGACGGCUAACUACGUG